rnacentral:rRNA from 1 species
AACGAACGCUGGCGGCAUGCCUAACACAUGCAAGUCGAACGAGACCUUCGGGUCUAGUGGCGCACGGGUGCGUAACGCGUGGGAACCUGCCCUUAGGUUCGGAAUAACUCCCCGAAAGGGGUGCUAAUACCGGAUAAUGUCUUCGGACCAAAGAUUUAUCGCCUUUGGAUGGGCCCGCGUUGGAUUAGCUAGUUGGUAGGGUAAAAGCCUACCAAGGCGACGAUCCAUAGCUGGUCUGAGAGGAUGAUCAGCCACACUGGGACUGAGACACGGCCCAGACUCCUACGGGAGGCGGCAGUGGGGAAUAUUGGACAAUGGGCGAAAGCCUGAUCCAGCAAUGCCGCGUGAGUGAUGAGGGCCUUAGGGUUGUAAAGCUCUUUUACCCGGGAUGAUAAUGACAGUACCGGGAGAAUAAGCUCCGGCUAACUCCGUG